rnacentral:rRNA from 1 species
AGUGAACGCUGGCGGUAGGCCUAACACAUGCAAGUCGAACGGCAGCACAGUAAGAGCUUGCUCUUACGGGUGGCGAGUGGCGGACGGGUGAGGAAUACAUCGGAAUCUACUUUUUCGUGGGGGAUAACGUAGGGAAACUUACGCUAAUACCGCAUACGACCUACGGGUGAAAGCAGGGGAUCUUCGGACCUUGCGCGAUUGAAUGAGCCGAUGUCGGAUUAGCUAGUUGGCGGGGUAAAGGCCCACCAAGGCGACGAUCCGUAGCUGGGCUGAGAGGAUGAGCGCCCACAGCGGAGUUGAAACGCGCUCCGGAGUCUUAGGGAGGGCACCGGGGGGGAAUGGUGGAAGAUGGGGGCAAUCUUGACCCACCCAUGCCGGGGGGAUGAAGAAGCCCUGCGGGUUGUAAGCCCGUUUUGUGGUGAAAAAAAGGUAGCAGGUUAACCCCCCCUUUUUCUGACGGUACCCAAAGAAGAAGCACCGGCUAACUUCGUG